rnacentral:rRNA from 1 species
UACGGGGGGUGCGAGCGUUGUCCGGAUUUACUGGGUUUAAAGGGUGCGUAGGUGGGUAAGUAAGUCAGUGGUGAAAUCUUCGAGCUUAACUCGGAAACUGCCAUUGAUACUAUUUAUCUUGAAUACUUUGGAGGUAAGCGGAAUAUGUCAUGUAGCGGUGAAAUGCUUAGAUAUGACAUAGAACACCAAUUGCGAAGGCAGCUUACUACACAGUUAUUGACACUGAGGCACGAAAGCGUGGGGAUCAAACAGG